rnacentral:rRNA from 1 species
AGAGUUUGAUCAUGGCUCAGGAUGAACGCUGGCGGCGUGCCUAAUACAUGCAAGUCGAGCGAACUGAUUAGAAGUUUGCUUCUAUGACGUUAGCGGCGGACGUGUGAGUAACACGUGGGCAACCUGCCUGUAAGACUGGGAUAACUUCGGGAAACCGAAGCUAAUACCGGAUAGGAUCUUCUCCUUCAUGGGAGAUGAUUGAAAGAUGGUUUCGGCUAUCACUUACAGAUGGGCCCGCGGUGCAUUAGCUAGUUGGUGAAGUAACGGCUCACCAAGGCAACGAUGCAUAGCCGACCUGAGAGGGUGAUCGGCCACACUGGGACUGAGACACGGCCCAGACUCCUACGGGAGGCAGCAGUAGGGAAUCUUCCGCAAUGGACGAAAGUCUGACGGAGCAACGCCGCGUGAGUGAUGAAGGCUUUUGGGUCGUAAAACUCUGUUGUUAGGGAAGAACAAGUACGAGAGUAACUGCUCGUACCUUGACGGUACCUAACCAGAAAGCCACGGCUAACUACGUGCCAGCAGCCGCGGUAAUACGUAGGUGGCAAGCGUUAUCCGGAAUUAUUGGGCGUAAAGCGCGCGCAGGCGGUUUCUUAAGUCUGAUGUGAAAGCCCACGGCUCAACCGUGGAGGGU